rnacentral:rRNA from 13 species
GAUUCACCGACCAAUCCUUAUGACGGUUACUAACGAUUUCUACUUCCA